GCGGCGCCGGUCCGGCCGCGGCGCCGCGCGGCACCGGGGUGGGCCGCCACCGAGGCUCAGGCGCCCGUCCUGGGUUUCCUCCCACGCGUGGUGAUGCUGAAAGGGUCCGCGAGGGAAGGCUGAAAUGAACCAACAUCAGCAGAGGCCGCGGCAGAGUGAGAGAGCUGCCCAUGCUGGGAGAAGCCCUGGUCUUUGUCUCCACAAAUGCUGAAACUGACAGUGUUUCUCCCAGAGUCCAAGUCUCCAUUAGCCAAGCCAAGAGCAGAGGAAAUGUUCUCCACUGGAGGAAAGAAGAACUGUCGACACCAGAAAAUUUCCUGCUGGAAUUCUGCCAAAGAAUAGCUGGCCGUCCUAGGGAGGUCCAUCAUUACGGAACUUUGCUGUUUGUAAAUUUAAUAAAC
rnacentral:lncRNA from 1 species